rnacentral:rRNA from 1 species
CGUGAGCAACCUGCCUUGGAGUGGGGGAAGAAACAAGCUGGAAACAGUUGCUAAUACCGCAUAAUGCAGCGAGGGGACAUCCUCUUGCUGCCAAAGAUUUAUCGCUCUGAGAUGGACUCGCGUCUGAUUAGCUGGUUGGCGGGGUAACGGCCCACCAAGGCGACGAUCAGUAGCCGGACUGAGAGGUUGACCGGCCACAUUGGGACUGAGAUACGGCCCAG